AAUAGAUACCCGGGUAGUCCACGCCGUAAACGAUGAGUACUAGGUGUAGGGGGUAUCGACCCCCUCUGUGCCGAAGCUAACGCGAUAAGUACUCCGCCUGGGGACUACGGCCGCAAGGCUAAAACUCAAAGGAAUUGACGGGGGGCCCGCACAAGCAGCGGAGCGUGUGGUUUAAUUCGAUGAUACGCGAAGAACCUUACCUGGGCUCGAACGGCUUCCCAACGGCUUUGGAAACAGAGCUAUCCCGCAAGGGAGUGGAGUCGAGGUGCUGCAUGGCUGUCGUCAGCUCGUGUCGUGAGAUGUUGGGUUAAGUCCCGCAACGAGCGCAACCCUCGCCUUUAGUUGCCGCGCAAGCGGAUCUCUAGAGGGACUGCCGGUGUUAAACCGGAGGAAAGUGGGGAUGACGUCAAGUCAUCAUGGCCUUUAUGACCGAGGGCUACACACGUGCUACAAUGGUAAGUACAGAGGGAAGCUAACUCGCGAGAGGGAGCCAAUCCCAGAAAACUUAUCGUAGUCCGGAGUCGGAGUCUGCAACUCGACUCCGUGAA
rnacentral:rRNA from 1 species